UACGGGGGGGGCAAGCGUUGUUCGGAAUUACUGGGCGUAAAGGGUUUGUAGGUGGCUUGCUAAGUCGAACGUGAAAUCCCUGGGCUCAACCCAGGAACUGCGUCCGAUACUGGUUGGCUUGAAUCCGGGAGAGGGAUGCGGAAUUCCAGGUGUAGCGGUGAAAUGCGUAGAUAUCUGGAGGAACACCGGUGGCGAAGGCGGCAUCCUGGACCGGCAUUGACGCUGAGGCGCGAAAGCCAGGGGAGCAAACGGG
rnacentral:rRNA from 1 species